GCUGUAGUUGAGGCUUAUGUUUCUUUUACUCUCAUUAUAAGAUAACACUGAACCCAAAGCAAACCCUGUAUGCCACCUGGUAUAGCUGGAUAUCCAGAAAUAUCUGGUUAUUUAAGAUAUAUGCCAUUUAAAUCAGGGGUCCCCAGCUCCUGGCCCACAGACUGGUACCUGUUAGGAACCAGGCUACACAGCAGGAGGUGAGUGGUGGGCUAGCAAGGGAGAUGAGCUUCAUCUGUAUUUACAGACACGCCCCAUUGCUCACGUUAACACCUGAGCUCUGCCUCCUGUCAGCUCAGCAGCAGUCUUGGAUUCUUGUAGGAGCUCGAAUCCUAUGGGGAACUGCAGAUGUGAGGGAUAUAGGUUGCGCUCUCCUUAUGAGAGUCUAACGUCUGAUGAUCUGUCACUGUCUACCGUCACCCCCAAAUGAGACCAUCUAGUUGCAGGGAAACAAGCUCAGGGUCCUCACUGAUUCUACAUUAUGAAGAUAGAUCAUGACAUCAGUUGUCAGUGCUGGCUGCUUUCUACUCUACCAAGAUGUGCCUCACCUUAAAGAUCACAAGCAGUGGAGACUGUUCAAUUCAGAUCGACAUGAACUGACACCUGGGCAUUGGGAUUUUGGCCUAACUCAUGUUUGUUCUUGAAUGUAAGGUAUCUCAUAGAACUAGUGAACAGAUCCCUGGUAUUCAGAUUGAGUUUAAAGUAAACUGUGCAGAAGAUAUAUUCCAGAGAAUUUCAUAGGUUUAUAGAUCAAAUGAUCUGUGUUUCUAUGAAUUUUAGUGUGAAAUGCUCAACUGACAGAGCCUCAAAAAUUGAUAUGUGGUUUGUGGAAGAGAACAAAAGGGCAAUGUGGCAGACACGCCUAAUGGACUGAUAAAGAUUCAUGCUUUCCUUAGGUUGAUUGCCACUAGGUGAGGUGGUGUGGCUACUUCUCCCUCUAAUGAAUGCAAGUGGGAAUGAUGUGAACCUCUUUAGGACUAAGUGGUUAUGAAAUAGGAAUAUUUUCUCUGUGUCUUCUUUUCUCAAGUACAGUGCAAAGGGAAAGGAGCCCAAAGACGUAGAUAAGGACAGAAUCACUGAACGCAGUUAAACCAGGAAACUCCAGUUGGACUUGACAUAGAGUCAGAAGUAAUAUUUAUUAUGUGAAGGAACUGAACUAUGGAGGGUUGGUGAUUAUAUGGAAAUAUUAAUUAAAAUUUUGACUUUUUUUCUGAGAUGGCACUUGCUCAAGAUGUGUAAGGACGGUGAAAAAUAAUGGCAUAAAUUUGUUGUGGUCUCUCAGUUUAGUGUUCUCAUUUGUGUUUUAUGAAACCCUGUGAAUUAGUUCAGGGGACAAAUCCGUAAGAAUUUUCCUGGGGAAACCGAGGCUUAAGAAACUUCCCCUAAAACACACUUCACAGUGCAGUGGAUACCAAAGGGCACAAAAAUAAGAUCUAAGAAAAAGUGUCUAACGUUCUUUAUCUCCAUCUAUAUCCCAAUUCU
rnacentral:lncRNA from 1 species